rnacentral:tmRNA from 1 species
UGGCUUCGACGGCAAGUCGGAUGGUCUGGAAGGGCGGGUCGAGGACCCCGCAACCUCGAUAAACGGCGGGAACCCAACAAACGUCAACAACGAUUACGCUCUGGCCGCCUAGCGCGGUCACGUUGCCGCCGGGCCUUCCAUCGGCCCGGUGAGCGGCGUCACAAAAGAUGGAUGCUUCGUCGGAAGUGUCUCCGGUUCGACGGAAAAGACUCAGGGGGCUUGGAAUGACGGAUCCUGUUUCCGGGAGCCUGAAUUCGACAUUAAAUCGGAAACUACGCCCGUAGAACUUCCAUGAUCGGCCCUUGUCGGACCGGGGUUCAAUUCCCC